GGCUUCAAAUCCGUGUACCGGCAGAAGGCGGAACCAAGUUGUCCAUACAGUCUAUGGUUUGAACUCUCAAAAAAGGAAUAGUAGAAAACAUUUGAGCAACAAUAAAAACAAAACUUCAAGGUAUUUUGUGUGAAAAAGACAAAAGUUCAACAAGUCGCACAAGUCGAGUGUUAGCAAUAUUAGCUCUGGAUAACACCAGCGUGUCAAAACAAUAAUGUACAGGUGUGACGCUCCCAGCUCUCAGGCACACGUUUGGCUUUUGAUGUCCUUGAACAGCGUGAGUGUGUGUGUGUGUGUGUGUGUGUGUGUGUGUGUGUGUGUGUGUGUGUGUGUGUAGGGGUGUGUGUAUGUGUAUGCGUGUGUAAUGCUGGUUCUGCCAGGUUUCCUUUCUUUCCCAGGUACACUGUAUCUAAUCAGGCAAACCUCACUGAUGCUGGCUCUGUAGAAACUUUAUCUGUCACUGCUAGUUUGUUCAGUUCCUGCCUCCAUUAGCCCUAAGGCUCAAGCUCACACUGUUUAUUCAGUUGCAGUCGCUGAUAAAUUGUGAGCUGAAAAAACUUAAGUAAUGAGGCAAGUAAAUAGAGCCUUCACAAGCAAACACUGUUUGAGCAACCCAAAC